GAUGAACGCUAGCGACAGGCCUAACACAUGCAAGUCGAGGGGCAGCACAUGAGUAGCAAUACGAUGGUGGCGACCGGCGCACGGGUGAGUAUCGCGUAUGCAACCUACCUUCCACAGGGGGAUAGCCUUCCGAAAGGGAGAUUAAUACCGAAUAAAACAGGGGCCCCGCAGGGGGAUAUUUGUUAACGAUUUAUCGGUGGGAGAUGGGCAUGCGUUCCAUUAGCUAGUUGGCGGGGUAAUGGCCCACCAAGGCAUCGAUGGAGAGGGGAACUGAGAGGUUUAUCCCCCACACUGGAACUGAGACACGGUCCAGACUCCUACGGGAGGCAGCAGUGAGGAAUAUUGGUCAAUGGGCGGGAGCCUGAACCAGCCAAGUCGCGUGAAGGAAGACGGUUCUAUGGAUUGUAAACUUCUUUUGCACUGGGGUAAAACGGGGGACGUGUCCCCCCUUGCAAGUACAGUGCGAAUAAGCAUCGGCUAACUCCGUGCCAGCAGCCGCCGUAA
rnacentral:rRNA from 1 species